rnacentral:lncRNA from 1 species
CCUGGACAGGCCCGGUGCACACUGCGUCCCCGGGCGCAGUGGCCCACGCGGUCACCUCAGCACUGGGUGGAGGAGGGAGGACGGCGAGUCUGCAGCAGCCUAACCCCCGAGAGGCCCUGGUGUGCACCGCGGGAGCCUCAGUGCAGCCGGGCGGGUGGCACGGGCCUGUGAUCCGGGGGCUCGGAGGCCGAGGCAGGAGGAUGGCAAGUUCAGGGCCAGCCUCAGCCACUCAGUGAGGCCUGACACUGACAAAAUAUCCUUAAAAAGGGCUGGAGGUGGCUCGGGGGUUAAGGCCCCUGGGUUCCAUCCCCGGUCCUCCCAGAAGCCUCAGCCCUCCUGUCUGUGGGAAGGGUCCACGGUCCCGCUGUCCCUCUGGGGGACAGCACAGGGCCCCAGGCCGCGGUGGGAGUCAGCGCAGCUGCUCCUGAGGCACCGGACCUGGGGGACCCUGACCCCGGAGGCCCAGAGCCCACAAGCUCAGCCGGACUCGCUGGACGCUGUCCCCGUGUCCUUCCCACUGAGCUCGGGUCAUCUGCUGAACCUCCCACGGCCUGGGGACAGAGUCCCCCCCCCCAGGGUGGGCACAGACCUCGGGGCGUCUCGGCCUCAGUCCCCGCCACUGGGACCUCGCAUCAGAGUGGCCCUGGGGGAGGGUGCAGCUUGCAGAGCGCCCCAUGCAGGGUCCCUGGGUCCACCCCACGCUGGACGACGUGGCCUGCCCUGGACGCUGGCCUGGCCAUGCGGCACCGGGGCCAGCGUCACCCUCGGCGCUGGAGGAUCUGUUCCCCGUGUCUGGGACGCACCUUCCUGGUCCCUGGGUCCCCCGCGUGCCCCGCGUGUCCUCCACAGAACGAGCAUUUACUGAGCACCUACUGUGCGCACGCGGCUCAGUGCUCUGCAGGCAGGGACGGGCACCUCCUCCGCCCCGUGUGGCACACGUCACUCCAGGGAGACCAACAGGAAAUGAGAAAAGAGCCAGAUCAUCUCGAGAAUGGAAAGCGCCUGCAGGAAGCCAGCGGGUGCCGCGGAGUGGGGGCUGGGGGCCCG